rnacentral:tRNA from 1 species
GAGAGAGUAAUUUAACGGUAAAAUAGUGAUCUCCAAAAUCACCUUUCGUGGUUCAAAUCCUCGCUCUCUUG